rnacentral:rRNA from 1 species
GACGAACGCUGGCGGCGUGCUUAACACAUGCAAGUCGAGCGGUAAGGCCCUUUCGGGGGUACACGAGCGGCGAACGGGUGAGUAACACGUGAGUAAUCUGCCCAUCACUUGGGGAUAACUACCGGAAACGGUGGCUAAUACCGAAUAUGACCACUUCCUGCAUGGGAUGGUGGUGGAAAGUUCCGGCGGUGAUGGAUGAGCUCGCGGCCUAUCAGCUUGUUGGUGGGGUAAUGGCCUACCAAGGCUUCGACGGGUAGCCGGCCUGAGAGGGUGACCGGCCACACUGGGACGGAGACACGGCCCAGACUCCAACGGGAGGCAGCAGUGGGGAAUAUUGGACAAUGGGCGAAAGCCUGAUCCAGCAGCGCCGCGUGGGGGAUGACGGCCUUCGGGUUGUAAACCUCUUUCAGUGGGGACGAAGCGCAAGUGACGGUACCCACAGAAGAAGCACCGGCCAACUACGUGCCAGCAGCCGCGGUAA